rnacentral:rRNA from 1 species
GACGAACGCUGGCGGCGUGCUUAACACAUGCAAGUCGAACGGGUCUGCCCUGUUUUUUGCGGGGUGGGUCAGUGGCGAACGGGUGAGUAACACGUGAGUAACCUGCCCCUCACUUCUGGAUAACCGCUUGAAAGGGUGGCUAAUACGGGGUGUUCUGGCUGUGCCGCAUGGUGUGGCUGGGAAAGAUUCACUUUUGUGGUGUUUUGGUGGGGGAUGGGCUGGCGGCCUAUCAGCUUGUGGGUGGGGUGAUGGCCUGCCAAGGCUUUGACGGGUAGCCGGCCUGAGAGGGUGGGCGGUCACACUGGGACUGAGCUACGGCCCAGACUCCUGCGGGAGGCAGCAGUGGGGGGUAUUGCACAAUGGGCGGAAGCCUGAUGCAGCGACGUCGCGUGAGGGAUGGAGGCCUUCGGGUUGUGAACCUCUUUCGCCGGUGAAGAAGGUCCUGCUCUUUGUGGUGGGGUUGACGGUAGCCGGGUUAUGAAGCGCCGGCUAACUACGUG